rnacentral:rRNA from 1 species
AACGCGAAGAACCUUACCUGGGCUCGAAGCACAGUGGACCGGGGUAGAAAUAUCCCUUUUCGCAAGAACUGCUGUGGAGGUGCUGCAUGGCUGUCGUCAGCUCGUGUCGUGAGAUGUUGGGUUAAGUCCCGCAACGAGCGCAACCCUUAUCGUUAGUUGCCAGCGGGUCAAGCCGGGCACUCUAGCGAAACCGCCUCGGAUAACGGGGAGGAAGGUGGGGAUGACGUCAAGUCCUCAUGGCCUUUAUGUCCAGGGCUACACACGUGCUACAAUGGUCGGUACAAACCGUCGCGAGCCCGCGAGGGGGAGCUAAUCGGAGAAAGUCGGUCUCAGUUCGGAUCGUAGGCUGCAACUCGCCUGCGUGAAGUUGGAAUCGCUAGUAAUCGCGGAUCAGCACGCCGCGGUGAAUACGUUCCCGGGCCUUGUACACACCGCACGA